CUAGAUACAAAUAAAUAGGCUUUUAUUAUAAAUAUAUGCACAACGUUUAUAGUAAAAGCAGUCAUAGCAGAGAAGGAAUCGAAUUAAAACCUUUAUCAAUAUGGCCAAAAUUGAUAAUAUUCCUUGCAAUAGCAUGUUAGGUUCGCAUGGUGCACUAUUGUGUUAUUAGUAACUAAGUAAGCUUACAAUCGAAAAUGUUUAACCAUAAAAGGGUAAAAUGGUGUAAGACAGUCUGAUACUAACUGAAAAAUAAGUAUCU
ncrna:unclassified sequences RAGATH-7 RNA